rnacentral:misc_RNA from 1 species
GGUGAAGAGGGAUGUGCAAACGCUGAGUUAGG